CUGUGAGCCACAGGGGGACUCAGCAAUCUCAUUUCCAAAGGUAUCAAGACUAGCAAAGCUUAAUAGGUGAGGUAUGGUUAAGUGGUGAGGCUGCAGCAAGCGACUAAGCAAUAUAUAUGAGGUGGCUAACUUACGAGUACAAGAAUAAGAGGGGGUGAUCUACACAUAACGGACGUGAACUAGUUGUUGGGAAACGUCGCAUGGGAAACAAAAAAAUUCCUACGCGCACGAAGACCUAUCAUGGUGAUGUCCAUCUACGAGAGGGGAUGUGUGAUCUACGUACCCUUGUAGACUGUACAGAAGAAGCGUUAGUGAACGCGGUUGAUGUAGUGGAACGUCCUCACGUCCCUCGAUCCGCCCCGUGAACCGUCCCGCGAUCAGUCCCACGAUCUAGUGCCGAACGGACGGCACCUCCGCAUUCCGCACACGUACAGCUCGACGAUGAUCUCGGCCUUCAUGAUCCAGCAAGAGAGACGGAGAGGUAGAAGAGUUCUCCGGCAGCGUGACGGCGCUCCGGAGGUUGGUGAUGAUCUCGUCUCAGCAGGGCUCCGCCCGAGCUCCGUAGAAACGCGAUCUAGAGGUAAAACCAUGGAGAUAUGUGGUCGGGCUGCCGUGGCAAAGUUGUUUCAAAUCAGCCCUAAAAACCUCCGUAUAUAUAGGGG
rnacentral:lncRNA from 1 species